ACCAUUGAUCAAUACCAAUCCUUCCACCAGGGGAGUUGGGAAGAUUUAGUGACUUGACAAACUGAGAUGGACCGACACCAGUAGACCAUACCAAGAGGCCAUAUGGGACUUCUGUACCGUCACUGAGAAAUAAUUUUGUGGGAUGCACCUCUUUCACUACACCUCGUGUGAGACGGACACCACACUUAGUCAAAUGAUUUGUUGCAUAUUGCCGUAGUCCAACAUCAAAGGAUGAUAGAAUUUCAUUGGCCUCAAUAAGGGUGACCUUUAUAUGAUCCUUAACAUGAGAAUACCGCUCCUGAACAUCUCUCAUGAUAAAAUCACUCAAUUCACCGCUAAACUCCACCCCUGUUGGACCACCUCCAAUAACGACACAGUGUAAUAAGCGGUUCUUCUCUUCUUCAGGUAUGCCUGGAUUUUCAGAUAGCAUGAGAUUCAAAAGGAGCUUCUUCCUUAUUUCUUGAGCAUGAUUCACUUCUCUAAGAAAAUAAGCAUGUUCAUUCACUCCCUUGAUACCAAAAGUCAGAGGCUCAGAUCCAGCAGCGAUAACAAGCUUGUCAUAUGCAACUUUAAACUGGUGAGGCUCCUGAGGUAAUACACCAUUGCUUACUGUCUCACAGUACACUUCGUGUUUGUCCGUGUCAAUGCCAGUGCAGGAAGCCAAAUAAAAAUAUGAGUUGGGACUUGUUGCCAAUGCAGACUGAAUCCGACUAACAGGCUCAGCUACAGAACGAAACUCCAGGGUUCCAACACAAGUUGAUGCAAGCAAAGGAGUGAAGACCAUGUGAUUCCUUGGUGAUAUGCAAACAACAUCAUAGAUUUUGGUGUCAAGUCCUUUCAUGAAUCGACAUGCAGCCCAUCCAGUGCCAAGGACAACCACCCUUGGCUUUUCACCAGGCCUUGUUGCUUCUAGACCUGGAUACCUUGGUUCUUCAUACUCAUUUUCUGAUUCUUCCAGAAUCCUCUCUGCAUUAGGAAAUUGAUA
rnacentral:misc_RNA from 1 species